rnacentral:rRNA from 1 species
UGAGGAAUAUUGCGCAAUGGGGGCAACCCUGACGCAGCAACGCCGCGUGAGUGAGGAAGGUUUUCGGACCGUAAAGCUCUGUCGAGCGGGAAGAAAUGCAUGGUGGCUAAUAUCCAUCAUGCUUGACGGUACCGCUAAAGGAAGCACCGGCUAACCCCGUGCCAGCAGCCGCGGUAAUACGGGGGGUGCGAGCGUUGUUCGGAAUUAUUGGGCGUAAAGAGCGUGUAGGCGGCCGAAUAAGUCAGAUGUGAAAUCCCUGGGCUUAACCCAGGACGUGCAUUUGAAACUAUUCGGCUGGAGUAGGGGAGAGGAAAGUGGAAUUCCUGGUGUAGAGGUGAAAUUCGUAGAUAUCAGGAGGAACACCGGUGGCGAAGGCGACUUUCUGGCCCUAUACGGACGCUGAGACGCGAGAGCGUGGGUAGCAAACAG